GACACAGUAGCGAGAGGAAUCGCACCGGAUAAUGUAGAUGUCGAGCGAUGCUAAACCGGAUAUGAUCCUGGUUCGAAUCCAGGCUGAGUCA